AGUGAACGCUGGCGGUAGGCCUAACACAUGCAAGUCGAACGGCAGCACAGUAAGAGCUUGCUCUUACGGGUGGCGAGUGGCGGACGGGUGAGGAAUACAUCGGAAUCUACUUUUUCGUGGGGGACAACGUAGGGAAACUUACGCUAAUACCGCAUACGACCUACGGGUGAAAGCAGGGGAUCUUCGGACCUUGCGCGAUUGAAUGAGCCGAUGUCGGAUUAGCUAGUUGGCGGGGUAAAGGCCCACCAAGGCGACGAUCCGUAGCUGGUCUGAGAGGAUGAUCAGCCACACUGGAACUGAGACACGGUCCAGACUCCUACGGGAGGCAGCAGUGGGGAAUAUUGGACAAUGGGCGCAAGCCUGAUCCAGCCAUACCGCGUGGGUGAAGAAGGCCUUCGGGUUGUAAAGCCCUUUUGUUGGGAAAGAAAAGCGGCAGGUUAAUACCCCGCUGUUCUGACGGUACCCAAAGAAUAAGCACCGGCUAACUUCGUG
rnacentral:rRNA from 1 species